AGUUCUCUUCCUUGGCAUGAAACGUUUUACACACUCCUCAAUUUUAUGUCUGAAAUUACAUCAACAAAUGAGAACGCUAUCUGGAUGUUUCUUGAGGCUCUGUAUCAUGCACCAGUGCCAGUGCCUGGACACACACUUCGUGUGUUGUGGAACAGUAACCAGAAACUGUUUAUGACGCAUUGCCCUGAUCAUAGAAAAUUACCAUCUAUUCCAGAAAAU